AUUUAGCAAAUAAGAAUCCAAGUGCAAACAGCAUGUAAAAUCAUCAAGAAAAACCUACAUAUUUUCUCUGUUUUUCUUGGGUCGGGUAAAAGACCCAUAUAUUAGAACCCACAAAAUUGCACAUAACUCUUGCGAACGAAAUCAUACAGCAGACAAACAUAUAGAUACAGAUAUAUGUAUAUAGAUGGUGAUUUUGAGCCAACCUGAUCCUGACAUUAAGAACAAGUACUGCUACAUGAAGCAACCUAAAACCACUGUGAAGUGUCACUCCAAGAACUAGAAGUGACGAAUUCCUUCAACCUAAAUUGCCGUUCAUGAACUGGGCCAUGCAAGUCCCAUGGCCUCCUCUUCAUAUGUGAAAUUUUAGAAUAAUUCACAAAUUUGGCAUGGUCUAAUAUGUAGUUAUUAAAAUGAUUUUAAUAUAUGUAGAGGUCAAAGGCUGAGUGCUGCGGUUUAGGGAAGGCAAAUUGGUAUAUGGGACCAGAAUUUGGUAGCAUUUUUCAAUAUUUACGUGGAUGGAAUUGUUUAUAAUGAUUUACUACAAAUUUAAAACAUUUUUAUGACUCUUAAGAAAAUAAAAAGUUUAGAAUAGGGUUGUUAAUGGGCGAAAAGAUUGU
rnacentral:lncRNA from 1 species